rnacentral:sRNA from 1 species
ACAGUCUCCACUGAAAGGCUAAAUGGGAGGAUCUUCCCCCGUGACCUCAAAAGAUAUUGUGGAUGCUGAUGGAAGAAUUUAUAUUCGGAACUGGCAGGGUGGCAUCCUGUCUGGGGGCUUUGAGAAGAACCCGAAACCAAUUUUCACUGAGGGCAAGAACCAGCUGGAGAUUCAGAAUCUACAGGAAGACUGGGAUCACUUUGAGCCUCUGUUGAGUUCCCUUCUGAGGAGGAUGCCAGAAUUAGAGACUCUGGAGAUCAUGAAGUUGGUGAACUGCCCAGAGACCUUCACACCAGACAUGAGGUGCAUCAUGGGCGAGUCUCCUGCAGUGCAGGGCUACUUUGUCCUGGCAGGAAUGAACUCUGCUGGCCUUUCAUUUGGUGGGGGAGCCGGAAAGUACCUUGCCGAAUGGAUGGUACAUGGUUAUCCCUCAGAAAACGUUUGGGAAUUGGACCUGAAACGUUUUGGAGCCCUCCAGAGCAGCCGCACCUUUCUGCGCCACCGGGUCAUGGAAGUCAUGCCUUUGAUGUAUGAUCUGAAGGUUCCCCGCUGGGACUUCCAGACCGGUAGGCAGUUACGCACCUCUCCUCUCUACGACCGGCUGGAUGCACAGGGAGCCAGGUGGAUGGAGAAACAUGGAUUUGAGAGGCCAAAGUACUUUGUUCCCCCUGACAAGGACCUCCUGGCAUUGGAGCAAAGCAAGACUUUCUAUAAGCCAGAUUGGUUUGACAUCGUGGAGUCUGAAGUCAAGUGCUGUAAGGAAGCUGUGUGUGUCAUUGACAUGUCCUCUUUCACAAAGUUUGAGAUAACAUCCACUGGGGAUCAGGCAUUAGAAGUUCUACAGUACCUCUUCUCCAAUGACCUGGAUGUGCCUGUGGGCCACAUUGUGCAUACUGGCAUGCUCAACGAGGGUGGAGGGUAUGAAAAUGACUGCAGCAUAGCACGACUGAACAAGCGCAGUUUCUUCAUGAUCUCUCCAACCGACCAGCAGGUCCACUGCUGGGCCUGGCUUAAGAAACACAUGCCGAAAGACAGCAACCUGCUCCUGGAGGACGUCACCUGGAAGUACACAGCCCUCAAUCUGAUUGGCCCUCGAGCUGUGGAUGUGCUGUCUGAGUUGUCCUAUGCCCCUAUGACUCCAGACCACUUCCCAAGCCUCUUUUGCAAGGAGAUGAGCGUGGGCUAUGCAAAUGGGAUCCGGGUGAUGAGCAUGACGCACACAGGAGAGCCAGGAUUCAUGCUCUACAUCCCCAUAGAGGGCAUGGAUUUCAUUGGUCGUGACGCCCUCCUGCAGCAGAAGCAGAAUGGAGUGUAUAAACGCCUCACCAUGUUCAUCCUGGACGACCAUGAUUCAGACCUAGACCUUUGGCCUUGGUGGGGAGAGCCCAUUUACCGGAAUGGGCAGUAUGUUGGCAAGACCACCAGCAGUGCCUACAGCUACAGCCUGGAGCGCCACGUUUGCCUGGGCUUUGUGCACAAUUUUUCUGAGGACACGGGGGAAGAGCAAGUGGUGACAGCAGAUUUCAUCAACCGGGGAGAGUAUGAGAUUGACAUCGCGGGAUACCGCUUCCAGGCCAAGGCCAAGCUCUACCCUGUCGCCUCCCUCUUCACCCAGAAGCGCCGAAAGGAUGACAUGGAGCUGA